UAAGUGGCGGAGUGUGUGUGUGUGUGCGUGUGGGUUUGCCAGGCGUGGCACUGCUGCAGUGAUUGAAAAAGAAGGAAAGCAAGAGAAAGUGAUGAAGAAAGACAAAGGAAGAAAAUGACAAAGUGAUUAAGAACAUGCAGCAAGUGUUCAGACUGGGUCAACAACAACAGGUUAUUCAUAAACACACAGCGAUGGAUUUUAUGGAAGAGUUUUGAUGCAUUAACCCUCAUUUCAGAGACAAAUACAUUCAGCGGUGCCACAGGAGCUGGUCUACAGAGAUGUGAUUAAAAAAGUAAGAUGGUCAGGUCCACUUUUCACGGAGCAGGGAUGGGUGGACAGCGAACAGACCCCUCCGCACGGAUAAUAGUGUCAUUAAUCAGGUGGUCAGCGCCUGUCCUCAUUAUCAGACGUGGGGCGUAUGAUUACGCUCAUUGAUUGGGAUGAAGAACGCUGCCUGUGAUUCGGACCGGGAGCACUCGGCCCUGGUCUGGACCGAUUGUUUGGUAAUGACCGAUUGAUUCGAGGAGGAGAGCUGACAGACUAGACCUGGAAUGAUCCUGUUAGUGGGAUGGUAAGCAAUUACUACAAAAAACAAAUAUGUUUCCAAAUCCUAUGUUUAUAAAUAUAUAUGACUUAA